rnacentral:rRNA from 1 species
CGCACGGGUGAGUAACACGUAUCCAACCUGCCGUCUACUCUUGGACAGCCUUCUGAAAGGAAGAUUAAUACAAGAUGGCAUCAUGAGUUCACAUGUUCACAUGAUUAAAGGUAUUCCGGUAGACGAUGGGGAUGCGUUCCAUUAGAUAGUAGGCGGGGUAACGGCCCACCUAGUCUUCGAUGGAUAGGGGUUCUGAGAGGAAGGUCCCCCACAUUGGAACUGAGACGCGGUCCAA